rnacentral:rRNA from 1 species
GACGGAGGGGGCAAGCGUUGUUCGGAAUUAUUGGGCGUAAAGGGCUCGUAGGCGGAUCCGCCAGUUUGACGUGAAAUCUCCACCGCUCACCGGGGAGGGGCCGUUGAAUACUACGGAUCUGGAGUUCGGCAGAGGACCAUGGAAUUUCGGGUGUAGCGGUGGAAUGCGUAGAGAUCCGGAAGAACACCAGUGGCGAAGGCGGUCUGCUGGGCGGUGAGCUCGUAAGGGCUCAAUAGCCGACACUGAGGCGCGACAGCGUGGGGAGCAAACAGG